rnacentral:rRNA from 1 species
GUAAUAGUUAUGAUCUUAAAACUUAAAAAAUUUGGCGGUAUUUUAAACUUUUCAGAGGAACUUGUCCUAUAAUUGAUAAUCCUCGUUGGACCUUACUUAAAUUUGUUAAAUUUAUUCAGUUUAUAUACCGUCGUUAUCAGAGUAUUUUAUAAGAAUAAUAAUUUUCAUGAAUUUAUAUUAAAAUUUAUUUCAGAUCAAGGUGUAGCAUAUAUUUAAGUAGUGAUGAGUUACAUUAAUUUUAUUUAUACGGAUAUUAAUAUGAAAAAUUAAUUAAAGGUGGAUUUGAAAGUAAAAUUAUAAAGAU